rnacentral:tRNA from 1 species
GGAGAUAGCUCAGUGGAAGAGUGUGUGCUUGGCAUGCAUGAGGUCCUGAGUUCAAUCCCCAGUACCACCA